CAAUUGGGCAGGAAGUGGGACAGGAAGUGGGGGGACAGGAAGUGGGGGUUGGGCAGAAAAUGGGGGAUAGGAAAUGGAGGUGGUUGGGCAGAAAGUGGGGGAUAUGAAGUGGGGGUGGUUGGGCUGGAAAUGGGGUGACAGGAGGUGGGAGCAAUUGGGCAGGAAUUGGGACAGGAAGUUGGGGACAGAAAGUGAGGACAGUUGGGCAGGAAGUGGGAGAUAGGAAGUGGGGGCAGUGGAGCAGGAAGUGGGGAGCAAAGAAUAGAGGGGGAUUAAAGGGAGAGGAGGGCCAGAACUCUGGAGGCCCUUGAAGGCUGUAAUGGAAAGAAGCCUAGACUCUGUCAGUUGGGCUUGGAGUAGGUUACUGGCUCCGACGUCCCGUCUGGCAGUGAGAGGACGCAGGAUCACAUGCGGUUGCCAGCCACCUCUGCUCGGAUGAGGGCCGGCUGCCACGCCACGUGUCUCACUGCCGGCCUAAUCGCCCACCAGCCUGCCGGAGCGACCCGGAGGGCUUACUGGCCACGAGCUGGGAACUGGGUUCCGGCAUGGUUCACCCAUCACAGGACAGAUGGCGCCACGUGCUUGGCAGGCAUCCUCGAGGGCGGGCCAUUGACCUCCAGGCUCCCAGUGUGCGGCUUACCCCUCUCAGCCACCCGCCCACCCUCCUCGGCCUGCAGGCAGGAUGCCAGCUUCAGUUUCCAGAGAAGCUGUUGCUUUGUGGAAAUUCUAAGAUUCUCAAGAUGUGCACGCGGCAUUGGGAGUCAUUCGAUCACCGCGGCCAUCGUUACGUGUUUCUCCACAAUCGGCUGUCUGAUGAGCUGCCAGACUUAAACCAUUUGGGUUUCCAGUGCUGAUUUUGGACCUGGAGCAAGUUUCUGUCCAGAGGAUUUGCUCCAAAUGCUGCUUCCUCCACGUUGCUUGCCGAGAAGGCAUCCUGGGCUGUGGGUGCCCCGUGCUGGGCCAGGGGCGGUGUGAGGGAGGUCGUCCUGGAGCCUCUGCUGCCCUGGGCAGGUGAGCAGGACCAGAGUGUCGAUGAUGGCUGUGCACAGGCCGGACAGAGUGGCUCAUGGCAACAGCCCUGGGGCCCCAGGCGGGCGGCAGGGUGGGUGUGCCCAAAGUGCGGCUCGACCCCAGCGUCCUCCAGAUGGAGGCCCCUGCCCUCAUGGGCGGGCGUGCUGAGGCUCCACGCGGUGUACCCUCGGCCAAAACAUCUCCCCAGCCCCUUUGGACAUCAAUUAGGUCAGUCUAGGUGGUUCCCCACUUCUCACGCACUGCUGACAUCUCAGAGUGGGUGAGAUCCCGGGUGUUCCGCAUAGAAAAAGCAAAUGGGACGACGUAGAAUUUUCCAGUUGUCCUUGAGGUUUCUCUCCAAAUGUGCUCUCCCCACAAAGGGCCAGGUGCCUCUCUGUGUCGGCUUGUUGGAUACGUGAGUGGUGUGGGUGUGAAGGGGUCACCACCGUCAGCCGGGUGCCUGUGUCAACAGGCGUAGGGACCCAGCGUCAGCGCGGGCUACCACAGUGGAACACCAACGGGAUACUUGAACACACACACUCCCUUCUGGUCACGGGGCCUGGGAGGGAGUCUGAGACUGAAGGGCAGGAGGGUUCAAGCUGAGGCCUCCGUCCCCGCGGCCUCGUUUCCAAUGGAUCAUCCAUGCCUAAGACAGCAGUGCUCCGGCUUCCUUCUUGCAGCUCCCCCCACAUGUUCAGCUGGAGAUCACCCGCAGAUGCACGAACACGUGGGUGUGUGGGCGUCUCAGGGUUGGAUGUCAUGCCCUGUCCCACACCCACGGCUUCACCUGGCUUAUCUUGAGUCCACCCCGUUUCAGUGA
ensembl:lncRNA